AUACGUAGGGGGCGAGCGUUGUCCGGAAUGAUUGGGCGUAAAGGGCGCGUAGGCGGCCCGGUAAGUCUGGAGUGAAAGUCCUGUUUUUAAGAUGGGAAUUGCUUUGGAUACUGUCGGGCUUGAGUGCAGGAGAGGUAAGUGGAAUUCCCAGUGUAGCGGUGAAAUGCGUAGAGAUUGGGAGGAACACCAGUGGCGAAGGCGACUUACUGGACUGUAACUGACGCUGAGGCGCGAAAGUGUGGGGAGCAAACAGGAUUAGAUCCCCGGGUAGUCCACACUGUAAACGAUGAAUGCUAGGUGUAGGGGGUAUCGACCCCUUCUGUGCCGCAGUCAACACAAUAAGCAUUCCGCCUGGGGAGUACGGCCGCAAGGUUGAAACUCAAAGGAAUUGACGGGG
rnacentral:rRNA from 1 species